rnacentral:rRNA from 2 species
AUGAAGGUUUUCGGAUCGUAAAGCUCUGUUGUUAGGGAAGAACAAGUGCGAGAGUAACUGCUCGCACCUUGACGGUACCUAACCAGAAAGCCACGGCUAACUACGUGCCAGCAGCCGCGGUAAUACGUAGGUGGCAAGCGUUGUCCGGAAUUAUUGGGCGUAAAGGGCUCGCAGGCGGUUUCUUAAGUCUGAUGUGAAAGCCCCCGGCUCAACCGGGGAGGGUCAUUGGAAACUGGGAAACUUGAGUGCAGAAGAGGAGAGUGGAAUUCCACGUGUAGCGGUGAAAUGCGUAGAGAUGUGGAGGAACACCAGUGGCGAAGGCGACUCUCUGGUCUGUAACUGACGCUGAGGAGCGAAAGCGUGGGGAGCGAACAGGAUUAGAUACCCUGGUAGUCCACGCCGUAAACGAUGAGUGCUAAGUGUUAGGGGGUUUCCGCCCCUUAGUGCUGCAGCUAACGCAUUAAGCACUCCGCCUGGGGAGUACGGUCGCAAGACUGAAACUCAAAGGAAUUGACGGGGGCCCGCACAAGCGGUGGAGCAUGUGGUUUAAUUCGAAGCAACGCGAAGAACCUUACCAGGUCUUGACAUCCUCUGACAACCCUAGAGAUAGGGCUUUCCCUUCGGGGACAGAGUGACAGGUGGUGCAUGGUUGUCGUCAGCUCGUGUCGUGAGAUGUUGGGUUAAGUCCCGCAACGAGCGCAACCCUUGAUCUUAGUUGCCAGCAUUUAGUUGGGCACUCUAA